UUAACUACCUGACAGAGGAGAUACUAUGAUCAUGAAAGUGGUUUUCCUAGGGCAAGCCUUAUCCAUUGCACUCCAGAUGUGCUGACUCAUGCAAUUUCCCCAAAUGUGGGAAACUCGACUACAUAAUUUCUGGUGGUAGGGGACUGCGUUCAUGUUCUCCCCUA
ensembl:snRNA U1 U1 spliceosomal RNA